AAAAGAUGAGAGGCUGCGGGGCUCGGUUGACCUGCGUAUGUUUGGGGGACCCAGGGUGAUGGGAUAUGUGAGGCGUGUGGCCUGGCCAAUCGGCGACGGCUGAGAGCACAGCCCACCGCCGCAGCGUGACCUCAACCGGUACCUGUAUUCUAGCUUUGAGCACUGCGGCCCGACCAACAGCUCACCAUGUUCCUGGCGCGCCUGACUUCACAGCUGGUCAGGAGUGUUGUUCCCUGGGCAGGUUUCAGUCGUUCCUGGCCUGGCUCUGGGGUGAUUGGCAGCCAUGCUUUUCGACCCCUUUACAGUUUGCAGCCUGCAAGCCCAAGUCGGGCUGCCUCCCUCCCUGCCAGGGGGAGGAGGAAGCCAAACAGGGAGACAGGGAAGUCUGGGAUGCCACUCCAAUGCAGUGCAAAAAUGUGCUGAAGAUCCGAAGGCGGAAGAUGAACCACCACAAGUACCGUAAACUGAUCAAGAGGACACGGUUUCUACGACGUAA
rnacentral:lncRNA from 1 species